rnacentral:rRNA from 1 species
CUGUAAUUGGAAUGAGUACACUUUAAAUCCUUUAACAAGGACCUAUUGGAGGGCAAGUCUGGUGCCAGCAGCCGCGGUAACUCCAGCUCCAAUAGCGUAUAUUAAAGUUGUUGCGGUUAAAACGUUCGUAGUUGAACUUGUGCUUCAUACGGGUAGUACAACUAUAAUUGUAGUUUGUACUUAACCUUAUGUAUGUAAGCGUAUUACCGGUGGAGUUCUUUAUAUAUGUAAUAAAUGCUUUAAAAUUUUUUAGAGUAUUUUUCAUAUAUAUCCUCCUAUACAAAAAACCUGCUUCAGUGCUCUUUACCGAGUGUUGUUGUAGGCCGGUACAAUUACUUUGAACAAAUUAGAGUGCUUAAAGCAGGCUCCAAAUGCCUGAAUAUUUUGUGCAUGGAAUAAUGAAAUAAGACCUCUGUUCUACUUUCAUUGGUUUUUAGAUCAAGAGGUAAUGAUUAAUAGAAGCAGUUUGGGGGCAUUAGUAUUACGACGCGAGAGGUGAAAUUCUUGGACCGUCGUAAGACUAACUUAAGCGAAAGCAUUUGCCAAAGAUGUUUUCAUUAAUCAAGAACGAAAGUUAGAGGUUCGAAGGCGAUCAGAUACCGCCCUAGUUCUAACCAUAAACGAUGCCAGCUAGCAAUUGGGUGUAGCUACUAUUAUGGCUCUCUCAGUCGCUUCCCGGGAAACCAAAGCUUUUGGGCUCCGGGGGAAGUAUGGUUGCAAAGCUGAAACUUAAAGGAAUUGACGGAAGGGCACCACCAGGAGUGGAGCCUGCGGCUUAAUUUGACUCAAC